rnacentral:rRNA from 1 species
GACGAACGCUGGCGGCGUGCUUAACACAUGCAAGUCGAACGGAAAGGCCCUGCUUUUGUGGGGUGCUCGAGUGGCGAACGGGUGUGUAACACGUGAGUAACCUGCCCUUGACUUUGGGAUAACUUCAGGAAACUGGGGCUAAUACCGGAUAGGAGCUCCUGCUGCAUGGUGGGGGUUGGAAAGUUUCGGCGGUUGGGGAUGGACUCGCGGCUUAUCAGCUUGUUGGUGGGGUAGUGGCUUACCAAGGCUUUGACGGGUAGCCGGCCUGAGGGGGUGACCGGCCACAUUGGGACUGAGAUACGGCCCAGACUCCUACGGGAGGCAGAAGUGGGGAAUAUUGCACAAUGGGCGGAAGCCUGAUGCAGCAACGCCGCGUGCGGGAUGACGGCCUUCGGGUUGUAAACCGCUUUCGCCUGUGACGAAGCGUGAGUGACGGUAAUGGGUAAAGAAGCACCGGCUAACUACGUG